AAGGACAUUGCUACCUGCCAUGAGAUACUUGGAGUAAAGGUAGACUCCACUAAAGAGCAGAUCAAAGAGGCCUUCUUUGAGAAAUCAAAACAGCUUCAUCCAGAUGUUGACACGGGGGAUUUAGAGAAGUUUAAGGAAUUAAAUGAUGCCUAUACUAAAUGCUUGAACUAUGUGAGGGCACCAAAUGACACGCUUAUGCAGGAGUAUCAAGAUCAUGCCAAAGAAAAAGCAGAAAGCAAAGAGAGCCCCCAUAGCCCUUUUAUUGUGGAAAACUUCGUUGAAUACUCCGUCAUUUUCAGUAUAUGCUUUGUGGCCGCUUACUUUGUGGCUGAUGCACUGUACAGAUUCCAUCCAUUAUCAGAUGGCCUGUCAUCUUUAGACGAAUCAUCAGGCGAUAAGUUAGUGGAGUAUAAAAGGCAGAUAGCCAAGUUGGAGCAGGAACAAUACGAAUGGCAAGCGAGACACAAAGAAUUAUUGUCCAAACAGGCAGCAUCUAAAGGCAGCUAAUUAAUAGCAGUAAAUAACAAUAACAAUAUCCAGACUGCACAGACCAUUCGUUUUUAGAAAUGGACGAUUAGUAGAAUUAUGAUCCUUGGCUAGGGGCAGGUAAUCCUAGGCCAGGGGCAGAUCACUGAAGCUGGAGGGACUACCUUCAUUCUAGUAUAUAAAUGUAAAACAUGUGAUUGGUAUGUUGAUUUUAUUAAAAUAAAUGUUUGUAUA
rnacentral:misc_RNA from 1 species